GAUGAACGCUGGCGGCGUGCCUAACACAUGCAAGUCGAACGAAGCAUUUUAGAGGAAGUUUUCGGAUGGAAUUUAAGAUGACUGAGUGGCGGACGGGUGAGUAACGCGUGGAUAACCUGCCCCACACUGGGGGAUAACAGUUAGAAAUGACUGCUAAUACCGCAUAAGCGCACAGUACUGCAUAGUACGGUGUGAAAAACUCCGGUGGUGUGGGAUGGAUCCGCGUCUGAUUAGUUAGUUGGCGGGGUAACGGCCCACCAAGACGACGAUCAGUAGCCGACCUGAGAGGGUGACCGGCCACAUUGGGACUGAGACACGGCCCAAACUCCUACGGGAGGCAGCAGUGGGGAAUAUUGCACAAUGGGGGAAACCCUGAUGCAGCGACGCCGCGUGAGUGAAGAAGUAUUUCGGUAUGUAAAGCUCUAUCAGCAGGGAAGAAGAUGACGGUACCUGACUAAGAAGCCCCGGCUAACUACGUGCCAGCAGCCGCGGUAAUACGUAGGGGGCAAGCGUUAUCCGGAUUUACUGGGUGUAAAGGGAGCGUAGACGGCGGAGCAAGUCUGAAGUGAAAGCCCGGGGCUCAACCCCGGGACUGCUUUGGAAACUGUUCUGCUAGAG
rnacentral:rRNA from 1 species